rnacentral:rRNA from 1 species
GAUGAACGCUGGCGGCGUGCCUAAUACAUGCAAGUCGAGCGAACAGACGAGGAGCUUGCUCCUCUGACGUUAGCGGCGGACGGGUGAGUAACACGUGGAUAACCUACCUAUAAGACUGGGAUAACUUCGGGAAACCGGAGCUAAUACCAGAUAACAUGUUGAACCGCAUGGUUCAACAGUGAAAGACGGUCUUGCUGUCACUUAUAGAUGGAUCCGCGCCGCAUUAGACAGUUGGUAAGGUAACGGCUUACCAAGGCAACGAUGCGUAGCCGACCUGAGAGGGAGGUCGGCCACACUGGAACGGAGACACGGUCCAGACUCCUACGGGAGGCAGCAGUAGGGGAUCUUCCGCAAUGGGCGAAAGCCUGACGGAGCAACGCCGCGUGAGUGAUGAAGGUCUUCGGAUCGUAAAACUCUGUUAUUAGGGAAGAACAAAUGUGUAAGUAACUAUGCACGUCUUGACGGUACCUAAUCAGAAAGCCACGGCUAACUACGUGCCAGCCGCCGCGGUAA